UGUGACCUCAAAUCAGGUAGGACUACCCGCUGAACUUAAGCAUAUCAAUAAGCGGAGGAAAAGAAACUAACAAGGAUUCCCCUAGUAACUGCGAGUGAAGCGGGAAAAGCUCAAAUUUAAAAUCUGGUGGUCUUUUGGCUGUCCGAGUUGUAAUCUAGAGAAGUGUUAUCCGCGCUGGACCGUGUACAAGUCUCCUGGAAUGGAGCAUCAUAGAGGGUGAGAAUCCCGUCUUUGACAUGGACUGCCAGGGCUUUGUGAUGCGCUCUCAAAGAGUCGAGUUGUUUGGGAAUGCAGCUCAAAAUGGGUGGUAAAUUCCAUCUAAAGCUAAAUAUUGGCGAGAGACCGAUAGCGAACAAGUACCGUGAGGGAAAGAUGAAAAGAACUUUGGAAAGAGAGUUAAACAGUACGUGAAAUUGCUGAAAGGGAAACGCUUGAAGUCAGUCGCGUUGUCCAGGGAUCAACCUUGCUUUUGCUUGGUGCACUUUCUGGUUCGACGGGUCAGCAUCAAUUUUGACUGUUGGAAAAAGGUCAAGGGAAUGUGGCAUCUCUGGAUGUGUUAUAGCCCUUGGUCACAUACAAUGGUUGGGAUUGAGGAACUCAGCAUGCCGCAAGGCCGGG
rnacentral:rRNA from 1 species